rnacentral:lncRNA from 1 species
UGGACCAACGAGUCAGAGGCAAGAUAACUGAAAGCCUCUGUCCCCACUGUCUUCCGAGAGCUGUGGUUUGACCAGGCAGCCCCCUAUGCCUCUUCCAGACUCAGGCUUCUCUCUGCUUCUGCAGUUUCUCCAGGACUCUUCAUGUUCUCCCUCAUUGACAAAGGGCAGUGGAUUUCUGGAAAUCUAUUUUCAGUAGACUUCAGUAACUCAAUUUUACCUAUCCACACUGUGUGGUAUAGUAUCAUCAUGUAAAAAUCAGAAGCAUCAAAAAUCAGACAAACCUAGACUCACUCCUCAAUUCUUUUACCAGGUGAAUGAAAAAGUGAUUAUUUUAUAAAAGGAAUGCUAGUUAGCAUUCCUGGGAGAAGUGAGUCUCUAUGGCUUGCCCUUUUGAAACUGGUUUCCAAACAAAAUGCAUACUCAUGAAUAUUUAUUGAUCAUAAAAGUUUGGCAGAUUAGAGCAGAAGAAGGGUAGCAUGAGGAGUACCAACUCUUAAACCUGAGGACUCAUGUCUGCACUACACCUUAUACAACAGUGUCUGUGAAAUGGUUAAAGAGUAAAAACCCAAUCUGUUGCAGCCAGAAAGGAGUACUCCACCUAUUACACAGCAAGGCCAAUAGAUUGCUUGUUAUUUUAAGUGUUAUUUAAAUUAUCUCCCUAGGGAAGAUAAUUUUCAGCUGCCUCUCCAUCUUCUUAAAGAAGAGCAGAAUUUAACACAUCUCGUCUUUGUGAAAAACAAAGACACUGAAGCAAUGGUCAGAAAGAAAAGGAAUAAAGACAAAGUCAAGGAAAGAGCCAUACAAGGACAGUUAGCAUAAGAUAGUUGUUCUCAAUGUAGGCUAUCCAGAACAGCACUGUCAACCUCACCGCGGAACUUGAAAGAAGUGCAAAUCCUUGAGACUGACUCCAAGUCUACUGAAUCAGAAAUUCUGGGGGUGAAGUCCAUCAAUCUUUGGUUGAACAAAACACAACCAAUCUCACAUUUAUGGAAGUUUCAUAUAUGAAGUCAUAAAAGUCACUAGAAAGGCAAGAAGAACCAGGGAGCUGACAUGUUCCUAGAUCCAGGAGCCACCCAGUGGAUUGACGAUUCUUAUCAUAAUAAGACUUCCUUGAACCAUCCCCCACCCAACCCUUUUCCAGAAAGAGUUGAAGACAAAUCUACAGUGAAUAGGAGGCUGAGGCCACCACACCACAGCUUCCAGUGCAAGUGUCCUUGUGCCCUGGUGCCUGAUAUCCAGCUCCGGCAGCCUAGAAAAUCAGUUAGGCUUUUCAGUCACAGCACCCUCUGUGACAAACGUGUGGAGCACCGCACGACUUCUUCAACCAGCUGGUUUUUCUGGCAUUCGAAUAAAAGUAAAAAUAGAAAACAAAGAGGGAGAAGAAAAGUGACAAGCUGAAACCUGCGAAGAGAAAGAGGACAAGAACCUGUAUGUACCCAGUGGUGUGGAUAAAUCGUUAUGUAUCUGCCUACGCAUUGUCAGAAAUACAGCAGCCUAAGUAGCCAUUCAAGGAAUUUAGAGUAAAGUACCAUGGUCAGAAUUCAAGAUAUAGCCACUACAGGAUCUGAAAUGCCAUCUGUUCCAACCGCACGACAUCCCCAUUCAGCAGGCUCACAAGGCUGGCAUAGACAGGAAGAGGGACCCCUCUGUUGUCCUCUACUCUCUUCUUCAACUGAGCAAUGAGCAGAAGAUUUAAGUUUGGGAUUUUUUCACUAUUUUUCCCAAACGCAUGAACAGGUUCUUCUCAAACUGCAAGAGUCGAUUCAAAAUCCAGACAGCUUUCACCACCCAAGGAUUCAGGGAAGUGUUUAUUUCUUUGUCUCAGAAUCUCUUUAAACAUGGCACCUACAAUGACAAAUUGUAAAUAGCCACGUCCAAUAAGUUUAUGCGUAACCUUACCUGACUUUUCCAUGGAACUCCAUUAUAUAACUAGAAGCAUUUCUCCACAAGCGGAAAAAAAAUGGAACCAGAAGAGAAACAAAGCACAUUUGAGCAUACAAUAAAUAAUGAUAUGAAAUGAACAAGUUGAUCUGGUCUUGAGGGAGGAGGAGGCACAGGAACACAGUAAAGGAACCUAUCUGAGGAGCUGCAGACAUGAACCAACAAAGGUUCACAAUGGGGGGAUUUCAGGAAGUUUUAUAUAAACAGCUGCCACCAAACCAAACUGGGGUCUUCUUGCCCAGUGCAGGAAAGCCAGACACUGACAUCAAGAUUUGCAGUUAAAGAAAACGGCAUUUAUUGCAUGGUGCCAACCAAGCAAGGAGGACGGGCAGCUAAUGCUUAAGACCCAAACUCCCAGAUGGCUUAUAAGCAAGGGUUUUUCAAGGUAAGGAUACAUUCCAGGAGAGCAGAAGUUGUAGGAAAAAUCAUAAAUCAAUACAUGGAGGUUAGACAUUGGUUUGGCCCAAGGGUGUGAUUCUCUCCAGGCCCCUCAGGAAGAAAUGCAGAAUGAAGAACAGAGACCAGAGUUCAGUCCCCAGGUCUUCCUUCUCCGAGGUCUAUGUGAUAGCAGUUGGCA